AACGCACAUUGCGCCCCCUGGUAUUCCGGGGGGCACGCCUGUCCGAGCGCCGUUUUCACCCCUCAAGCAAGGCUUGUUGUUGGGGCCCCGCCCGCCUCUGCGCUGGCGCGCCCUCGAAUCCAUCGGCGCGGCCGUAGGCCUCCCCAGACACCGCGUUGUCAGAGGGUCGCCGGCGACCGCCGCCUCGAAAACGAACCGCAAAACUUGGCCUCGGAUCAGGCGGGGAUACCCGCUGAACUUAA
rnacentral:misc_RNA from 1 species